CCUCCCCCCCCACGAACGCUGGCGGCGUGCCUAAUACAUGCAAGUCGAACGAACUCUGGUAUUGAUUGGUGCUUGCAUCAUSAUUUACAUUUGAGUGAGUGGCGAACUSGUGAGUMACACGUGGGAAACCUGCCCAGAAGCGGGGGAUAACACCUGGAAACAGAUGCUAAUACCGCAUAACAACUUGGACCGCAUGGUCCGAGUUUGAAAGAUGGCUUCGGCUAUCACUUUUGGAUGGUCCCGCGGCGUAUUAGCUAGAUGGUGGGGUAACGGCUCACCAUGGCAAUGAUACGUAGCCGMCCUGAGAGGGUAAUCGGCCACAUUGGGACUGAGACACGGCCCAMACUCCUACGGGAGGCAGCAGUAGGGAHUCUUCCACAAUGGACGAAABUCUGAUGGAGCMCGCCGCGUGAGUGAA
rnacentral:rRNA from 2 species